rnacentral:snRNA from 1 species
UUGCUUCGGCAGCAAAUAUACUAAAAUUGGAUCAAUACAGAGAAGAUUAGCAUGGCCCCUGAGCAAGGAUGACAUGCAAAUUCGUGAAGCAUUCCAUAUUUAA